GUGCUUGCUUCAUCAGCAUAUAUACUAAAAUUGGAAUGAUACAGAGGAGAUUCGCAUGGCCCCUAUGCAAGGAUGUACUUUCUUCCUCCAUCAGUGGAUUUCU